CCCUACGGGGGGCAGCAGUGAGGAAUAUUGGUCAAUGGUCGGGAGACUGAACCAGCCAAGCCGCGUGAGGGAGGAAGGUACAGCGUAUCGUAAACCUCUUUUGUCAGGGAACAAAGACUGGGACGCGUCCCCGGAUGAGUGUACCUGAAGAAAAAGCAUCGGCUAACUCCGUGCCAGCAGCCGCGGUAAUACAAAGGAUGCGAGCGUUAUCCGGAUUUAUUGGGUUUAAAGGGUGCGCAGGCGGUCUGUUAAGUCAGCGGUCAAAGCCCGGGGCUCA
rnacentral:rRNA from 1 species